UUGUGCGUUUAAACUUGACAUUCUCGCUCAUUCUGCUGACAUUCAAUUCGAGUUCGAGGUGGGGUAAAUGUAGUGAUGAGAAUAAUGGAGGAGUUCCCUUUCAGGAAGGGGCGGUGCAAUCGAUUUUGGGUCUCUGAGAUUUGGGAUUCGGGAUUGAUCAGGAUAAUGGGGUUUGGAUGCGGAAGAGUGGCAGGUGCGAGGGAGGCUUGGCGGAUGGAGAUGAGGCAGAAAUUGCACGGCUUGGCGGAAGGAUUUCAAGUUGCAACGGCCAAUUCUGUUGGCAAGAUGGAGGUGUGAUUGCAGGUGUGGAUUUGGGAGCAGCGGCUGUAUCUUGGCAGGUUGUUUUCCCGUUAUGUGACAGAAUGCGGUCCCUAAUGGUUCUGGGGAUGAUCAUAUAUUAGAGUCACAGGGAGGAGAGGACUUGGAGAAGAUCGCAGCAUAGGAACGGAAGCAAUUCUCUCGAGAAACCCUAGUUGCUCCAACGAGAGAUUUUCACUCCAAACACAAGCUCGGGAACGCGGAUUCGGCCUUGUUUGCAAGGCACAAAUAAAGAUGUGUGACCCUGAUGUCAGCCUAUGAGAACAAAUCAAAUGAGGGAUUAGCUUCAAACCAGUCAACUAAACAUGUAAUGGAGAAUUCAGCUUCAAAAUCUUCUCCAGCCGCUCUUGAGUUUCUGUUUUGGCUUCCAGUACCAAAUCAUCAAGGAAUCCCCUCUGAGGAAACUCUUCAUGUACAAUACUCUGAUAUGUCUCAAACUGCUCUUGUGCUUCCUCCUUUUUACCCUGCAAGCUGUUGAUUAUCCCCUAAAACAUAUAUAAUUGGUAAAAACAAAAAUUAAACCUCAAUCCAGUUCUUGCUUGUCUAAACUUAUUGUUAUUCUCAAUAAUCGACAAAGAAGAAAAUUGGUAUUUUGGACCAUUGUACCCUUAUACCUUACCAUUUGAUUGGUAUGGAUCAAAUCGGAAUCAAGGAUCGGUCUCGGCUGAUACCAAUCCAAUCCCGGCGAUCCUGACUGAUCCGCUAUGAUCCGAUUUUUAAAAUUAUGAGAACCAAUGCCUUUGAGGGCUUGAUGAACCAUAGAGAUGGCGAUAGAAGAAGUGACAGAUUCUAUAGCUCUUAGAGCAAGAUAAGAGGGACAUGGGCGAUCUUUGCAAGGGAUUCAUCAUUGAGCAAGGGGAUGAGCUUAUUAGUGGUAGGCAGUUAGGUAGUUGGGCUCUGACGCAAGUCUAGGGAAGUUGCUGGUUUAACCUCCUAUCCCCACCUUCUUGAAAUAUACUUAAUAAUCAGUGUGGCCUAGUGACCCCCUUGUUGGCCCCUUGUGAGUUCUUGCCCCUAGUGAGCUUUUUAACCAUUCCAUCGCACUAAUAAAGUGCUCUCCUCUAUGCCAUUUCAUAAUAGACCCUCUCCCUAGAAACUAAUCAAAUGUUACAUGUUAUGAAUGUGAAUGUAAAUGUAAAUAUUUGAAUCAUUGACCAAUUGAAUUCAAAUAAAUAAUAGAUGAAUAUAAUAUUCGUUGGAUUUCACAUUGGAUUUAGAUAGUGAAUAUGUCAAUUGGCAAAAAAAAAAAAA